AAACAAACCUUUAAAACUUUCAACAACGGAUCUCUUGGUUCUGGCAUCGAUGAAGAACGCAGCGAAAUGCGAUAAGUAGUGUGAAUUGCAGAAUUCAGUGAAUCAUCGAAUCUUUGAACGCACAUUGCGCCCUUUGGUAUUCCUUAGGGCAUGCCUGUUCGAGCGUCAUUUAAACCCUCAAGCUCUGCUUGGUGUUGGGCGCCUGUCCCGCCUCUGGCGUGGACUCGCCUCGAAGAUAUUGGCGGUUGUUGCAUUGACCGGAUGCGCAGUAAAAACGCGCUGGUACUGGCUUGAUGCCUUCCUCCAGGAAGCUAAACCUCUCAUCUUGACCUCGGAUCAGGUAGGGAUACCCGCUGAACUUAAGCAUAUCAAUAAGCGGAGGA
rnacentral:rRNA from 1 species